AUGGCUGGUCGUCCUCCCGGGGGGAGCCAGCCCCGCUUCAUGCCCUCCCCCGACCCGAGCCAGGGGCGUGUGGCCUGGCUUCCAAUGCCCAGCAUCCUCUCACUGAAGCAGGCCCCCAGCUCCGUGCGGCCCCCUGGACUCCGGGGCCAGCAGGGCCGUGGCCCUCAGCGCACUGAGGCUCUGACUGUCUCUCCUCUGUUCUCCCUCCCAGGCUGCCUGUUUGAGGAUGGCCUCUGCAGACCCGCUGAGACCUGUGUGAACGACGGAGUGUUCGGACGGUGUCAGGAGUUUCCGGCCACGGACGCGCUCCGCUAUGAAGUGUCACCGGGGGUUCUGCAGCACCUGACGGCCACCCUGCAGAGGCUCUCCCGCACAGGUCUCACGUGGCAGGAUGACUACACCCAGCGCGUGAUGGCCCGGGAACUCGCCAGCCUGCCCCAGACGCACCCGCGCCACCCCGAGGUGUCCAGCCCCGCCAGGAGCUCGAAGCAGAGCGUCCCGGACGAGCGGAGCCUCAGCCUGGAGGGCGGCAUGCUGGCCGAGGCCCUGCAGCGCUACCUGCCCUACCUGGAGGCCCUGUCCCAGGCUGCCACCGCCGACGCGCUCCCGGGGCCGGAGCUGGACAGGCCACCUGCCCAGGGUGAGGACCCCCUGGCCGACAGCAUGCUAACCUUCGUGGCCCAGACGUCCGCUCUGACCUACGCUCCCGCGGCGCGCGCCGACCUCGCAGGGGGCCGCCCCCUGCGCACGCUCCGCCGGCUCCAGCCAGACGAGCUCAGCCCCAAAGUGGCCGGCGGGGUGGACAGGCAGCGUCUGGUGGCUGCACUGGGCGCCUACGCGGCCCGGAAGGCCCCUGCGCCCUCCAGGGACGGCGACCCCGCGCCCCGCGGCCUUGUGCGUGCGCCUUGGAGAGCGCCCCGGGUCCUGUCGGCGGCGCCGGCGGCCCCCCAGAGAUGGCCUUCGCCUGCGGACCCCAGAGACGCCCCGGUCACAGACGAUGAAGCUCGUGUUCAGACACUGCUGAAGGACCUGCGGAAGCGCCCGGCCGGUGUGGAGGGUCUGAGUGCCCUGGACGUGGACGAGGUGGCCCGUGCCCUUGCGAGUGCAAUGCCAAGUGGGGGCGUGGCCGGGGUGCCGGGCACGGCCGGGAGGAGCGGUGGACGCGGAGCGGAGGCGAACAGUGCGGGGGCCGCCCUGCACAGAGACCGCGUGCCAGAGAGGAGACUGCAAGACAGCGACGGGGGACUCUACCAGGAGGUGAACCGUCUGGGCGUCCAACUGGGGGACUUCCUGCAGGGCCCUCGGUCUCCAUUCCUGCCUGCAGCCCCCCGUCUCACCGAGCCCUUCAAGACGGAGAGCAAGAAAGGGGAUGACGCAGAGGCUUCGCUGUCUUCGGAGGAGGAGCGUGCGGGCGUGGAGAACGUGCGGAGCCAGACCUACUCCAAGGAGCUGCUGCAGAGGCCGCUGCAGGAGAGGCCCGGGCUGGGCACGGCCCCCCAGGAGGACCUGCACCUCGGGGCUGGCGCACAGGAACCCCCCGGCCCAGACCUGCGGCUGCAAGUCCAGGCCCCCGAGGAGGAGUAUGGCUACAUCGUGAUGGAAAAUGACUCCCUGAGCCUGGACGAGGGCACGCAGGCGCUGGAGGGCGUGGCGCGGCUCCUGGAGGUGCCGGCGGGUGUCUUCACGGACGUUGAGGUCGAGGGGCCAGCGGUGACCUUCAGGGUGCGCGCCAACGCCCAGAACGUGACCGCGGCGGCCGCGGCGAAGGCGGCAGCCGACAACAAGGAGAAACUGCAGACCAUGUCUGGGCUGAGAGUUCUUCAGGCCGGAGUCGGCUCGAGACGCAGAAUCAAGCUUCUGCCUCACCAGGCCGCACGGGAGGACUCCGCCAAGUUCGUGGUGCUCACCCUGGUCUCCCUCGCGGCCAUCGUGGGGGUCUUGCUGGCGUCCGGUGUCAUCUACUGCCUUCGACACCGCUCUCACUACAGGCUGAAGGAGAAGCUCUCCGGGCCGGUGGGCGACCCGGGCCCAGACGCCACCAACGCCUAUCAGGCCUACAUGGAGGACCACCUGAAGAACAAGAACCGCCUGGAGAAGGAGUGGGAGGCGCUGUGUGCCUACCAGGCCGAGCCCAACAGCUCGCUCGUGGCCCAGAGGGAGGAGAACCUGCCGAAGAACCGCUGCCCCGCGGUGCUCACCUAUGACCACUCCCGGGUCCGGCUGAAAUCAGAGAACAGCCACAGCAGCUCCGACUACAUCAACGCCAGCCCCAUCAUGGACCACGACCCCAGGAAGCCCGCGUACAUCGCCACCCAAGGACCCCUGCCCUCGACUGUGGCUGACUUCUGGCAGAUGGUGUGGGAGAGCGGCUGCGUGGUCGUCGUCAUGCUGACCCCCCUCUCGGAGAGCGGCGUCCGGCAGUGCUGCCACUACUGGCCCGACGAGGGCUCCAGCCUCUACCACAUCUACGAGGUGCAUCUGGUCUCUGAGCACAUCUGGUGCGAGGAUUUCCUCGUGAGGAGCUUCUACCUGAAGAACCUGCAGACCAACGAGACCCGCACGGUGACUCAGUUCCACUUCCUGAGCUGGUAUGACCAGGGGGUGCCUUCCUCCACCAGGUCCCUCCUGGAUUUCCGCAGAAAAGUAAACAAGUGCUACAGGGGCCGUUCUUGUCCAAUAAUUGUCCACUGCAGUGAUGGCGCCGGCAGGAGUGGCACCUACGUCCUGAUCGACAUGGUUCUCAAUAAGAUGGCCAAAGGUGCCAAGGAGAUCGACAUUGCCGCCACCCUGGAGCAUCUUCGGGACCAGCGACCAGGCAUGGUCCAGACUAAGGAGCAGUUCGAGUUCGCCCUGACGGCCGUGGCCGAGGAGGUGAACGCCAUCCUCAAAGCCUUUCCCCAGUGAGGCCGGAGGCGCCCACGACCGGGGCCCCGUCAGCGCCCACGGACGCCGUGCCCGCCUCUCCUGCGGCAGCUGCCUAGUGAUCUAGUCCUUAAGACUCUACAGUCAGUGCAGCUUAGCAGUUAAAACGUGUGUUUUUGUUCAGCCAAAUAAUAAAGGGAGGUCUACGGGCA
rnacentral:lncRNA from 1 species